AUGGGUUCUUGCGAGGAUCUGGGGUACGGCGACGUCUACUCCGUCCCCAACCCGGCGGCUGCCCCCGCCUACGCGCUCGACUUCUCCCUCCACCACCAGCAGCAGCAGCAGCUCCGGUUCCCCCCUUCUUCAUACGGCUUCCACGGCCUUCCUGCCGCUUCCGCCGCCUAUUACCAGCCGUCUCCGCCGCAGUCGGCGCUGAUUGGCAGCACGCCGAGCCCCGUCUCCACCACCACGGAGCUGGGGAGCCCCGAGGAGGCCUCCGACGACGCCGUGCUCGCCUACAUCAACCAGUUCCUCCUCGAGGACGACGACGACGACGAGUUCUUUGCACCCGCCAGCGAGCCGGCGCGGGACUCGGCGCUCCUCGCCGUCGCUAAGCCCUUCGUCGACAUCAUCGCCGACGCCAAGCCCGCCGCGGCAACGGUGUACCAGGACAGGUCUUGGAUGGAUCCCUGCUGUGCCUUCGCAACGAUGGGAGGAGGGUCCCCUGAUAUGUUCGUCAGCAGCCGACAGAGCUCCUGUCAGUUGGUGCCCUGCGAUUCCGUGAAGGAGGAGGAGGAGUGCGCCGUCCACAAGGGCCGGAAGAACCGCCACGGCGACGACGACCUGGAGCCGGAGGACGAGAGGCGGCGCAAGCAGCUGGCGCUGUCCGAGGAGGAGACCGUCCGGGAGAUGUUCGACAAAGUGCUCCUCUGCAGCGGUGUCAACUGCAUCCUCCAGUCACCACUGCCAGCCGAAGCAGAGAUCAGCAGCGUGUACGUGAAAGGGUCAGGGAACCGGAGAGGCCGCAAGAAGGGCAAGACCGGAGUGCCCACCGUGGAGGAGGAGUCCGUCGAUCUGACAACCCUGCUCAUACACUGCGCCCAGGCCGCGGCUAUCGAUGAUCACCGCGGUUCGGGCGAGCUGCUGAAGCAGAUCAGGCGGCAUUCUUCCCCUCAUGGGGAUGCCGGGCAGAGGCUGGCGCAUUACAUUGCUAAUGGGCUCGAGGCUCGCCUUGCCGGCACCGGUAGCACCGUCUACCGCUCGCUUGUUGCACGGCGAACUUCUUCCGCUGACAUGCUGAAAAUAUUCAAGCUGUAUGGGACCGCAUGCCCGUUCAUCAGGAUGUCCAGGUUCUACUCGAAUGAAGCCAUCUUGGAUGCUGCUGCCAAGGGUGUGACAAGCGUGCACAUUGUGGACUAUGGUAUAGACUGGGGCUUCCAGUGGCCAAUCUUCUUGCAGCGGAUCUCCAAGAGAGACGGCGGCCCCCCAAGAAUACGGAUCACCGCCAUCGACUUACCGCAGCCAGGGUUCCGGCCUGCGGAGCGUUUAGAGGCGACAGGCCGGCGGUUACGUGACUACGCCAAGAUGUUUGAUGUUCCCUUUGAGUACCGUGCGAUUGCUGCCAAGUGGGAUGCCAUCCGAGUCGAAGACCUCAGGAUCGACAAGGAUGACCUUCUUAUUGUCAACUGCUUGUUCAGAAUGCGGCACAUGAUGGACGAGACGGUGGCCGAUGAGAGCCCGAGGAAGACAGUCUUGAACACGAUCAGGAAGAUGAACCCGCAUCGGUUCAUCCACGCGGUUGUCAAUGGCACCUACAACGCGCCAUUCUUCGUGACGCGCUUCAAGGAGGCUCUCUUCUAUUUCUCCUCGCUCUACGACAUGCUCGAAGCGACCGCACCGCCGGUGGAUGAGCACAGGCAGCUGAUCGAAAGGGAAUACUUCGGACGGGAGCUUCUCAACGUGGUCGCUUGCGAGGGCACGGAGAGGGUCGAGAGGCCGGAGACCUACAAGCAAUGGCAGGUAAGGAACCUCAGGGCAGGGUUCAGGCAGGUGCCUCUGCUUCAAGAGACGGUGAAAAAAGCAAGAUACAAGGUAAUCAAGAGCUAUCACAGGGAUUUCUUCGUCGACGAAGAUAACAAGUGGAUGCUGCAGGGUUGGAAGGGCAGAGUCAUCGGCGCCCUAUCCACAUGGAAACCUAGCUAG
rnacentral:rRNA from 1 species